CAGCACUGUCUGACCUGAUGUUUAUGCUUCUAUAAAAGUCAAUUUAUGAUAUUAGGGAAAAUUUGAAGCAUUCUGGGUUCAGUAACAAUUGUGGCUUGAAUACCCUACCUUAAAUUCCCUCUCUGACAAUCCUUAAAAUCCCAGGCCUAAUCUUCUUGUGGUCUCCAUAUGGACUAGCCUAUUACUGAAUAAAAUACAUGGCACUAAAAAAUCAUCCAGAAAAAUGUCCAGAGUGACACUUUUAAUGAUGUCUGUAAGAAGCUGACUGUAUGUUUAUCUUCUAAAUUGCCAUUCUUUUUUUAAUGUACACUUAUUCAGAGUGAGUUGUUUUGGGUUUUUUUUACCCAGAUAACAAAAAUACCUCCAGAUAAAAAGGAAGGUGAUAACAGACAUCAACUUAAGCCCCACUCUCAGACCUGUUGCUCUCUCAUUGCAGGUAAUGUUCAGUGACUGCCAGUGAAGGAGCUACUGCUGGUGAAAAAAUCCCACAUUUCCACAGAGUUGCUGCCUGGGAAGCCUGGGCAAUGUGGUCACCAGCACCUGCUGGCGUGUGCAAGCUGUGAGUGCCAGGCCUUCUGCUAAAGAGCCUCAAGGAAGCAUCCUGAUGGAAAUAAAUAAAUUAAAAAUAAAUAAAUAAAUGAACCCAAGC
rnacentral:lncRNA from 1 species